rnacentral:rRNA from 1 species
UGGGGAAUAUUGGGCAAUGCGCGCAAGCCUGACCCAGCCAUGCCGCGUGAGUGAUGAAGGCCUUCGGGUCGUAAAGCUCUGUGGGGAGGGAAGAAAAACCGUAUGGCUAACAUCCAUGCGGCUUGACGGUACCUCCUUAGCAAGCACCGGCUAACUCCGUGCCAGCAGCCGCGGUAAUACGGAGGGUGCAAACGUUGCUCGGAAUCAUUGGGCGUAAAGCGCACGUAGGUGGCGUGUUAAGUCGGGUGUGAAAUCCCUGGGCUCAACCCAGGAAGUGCACUCGAAACUGGCACGCUUGAGUACUGAAGAGGGUCGCGGAAUUCCCGGUGUAGAGGUGAAAUUCGUAGAUAUCGGGAGGAACACCAGUGGCGAAGGCGGCGACCUGGGCAGAUACUGACACUGAGGUGCGAAAGCGUGGGGAGCAAACAG